rnacentral:lncRNA from 1 species
UUCCCCCAUGGUUGGGUUUCCUGAUCCCUAGCAGUGCUUUGCUACGGGCAGCGACGAAUAAUUAACUAGCUAAUUAUCGUCUCUCAGCUCUGCAGGAAGAGUACAUCAUGCAUGUGUAGAAAAAAAAUACUUCAGGUACUAAUUCUAAACGAGUUCCCAUAAAGUCCAUCGUUACUGAUAGUGUACCAGGGAGUGAGGAUAUGCAGAUAUGAUAAUUACACUACAUAAUUUUUUUUCUUUUAGCUAGAUGCGUACACAUAGGCCGUUAUUCAGUGCAUUUGAAAUAAACUUGGGCAUAUAAUGGUUUAUCUGUUUAUUUGUGCAAGAUGCAACAAGAAGAGUAAUGAUCUUACUAAGGAGCAUGUUGAGAGUGCAGAUGACGCCAAUGUCUUCAGUUUAUCCACGUCGUCGUGAGGUGGAGAGCCAAAAUGCCUGAAGCUUGUGACAUGGGUGAACGAGAUGAAAGCAGUUGGGGAACGUUGCAUGGAAAACAAAAAAAGUUCUAUGCACACGCAAGAUCUAUCCAUGGAGGUGCAUAGCAAUGAGAGGGGAGAGUGUGUUCACGUACCCUCAUAGACCGUAAGCGGAAGCGUUUGUUAACGCAGUUGAUGUAGUCGAAUUUCUUCGCGCUCCAACCGAU